rnacentral:rRNA from 1 species
GACGAACGCUGGCGGCGUGCUUAACACAUGCAAGUCGAACGAAGUGGCGAACGGGUGAGUAACGCGUAAUCAACCUGCCCUUCAGAGGGGGACAACAGUUGGAAACGACUGCUAAUACCGCAUACCGCCGGAGGGGAUUGCGUCUGAUUAGCAAGUUGGGGGGGUAGCGGCCCACCAAGGCGAUGAUCGGUAGCCGGGCUGGGGGGAUGAACGGCCGCAUUGGGACUGGGGCACGGCCCAGACUCCUACGGGAGGCAGCAGUGGGGAAUCUUCCGCAAUGGACGAAAGUCUGACGGAGCAACGCCGCGUGAGUGAUGACGGCCUUCGGGUUGUAAAGCUCUGUUAAUCGGGACGCGGUACCGGAAUAGAAAGCCACGGCUAACUACGUGCCAGCAGCCGCGGUAAUAC